rnacentral:rRNA from 1 species
AUACGGAGGACGCGAGCGUUAUCCGGAUUCAUUGGGUUUAAAGGGUGCGCAGGCGGCCGUGCAAGUCAGCGGUGAAAGCCCGGGGCUCAACCCCGGAAGUGCCGUUGAUACUGCAUGGCUGGAAUGCGGUCGAGGCGGGCGGAACGGGGCGUGGAGCGGUGGAAUGCGUAGAUAUUCCACAGAACGCCGAUAGCGGAGGCAGCUCGCCAGGCCUGCAUUGACGCUCGGGCACGAAAGCGGGGGGAUCGAACAGGAUUAGAUACCCUGGUAGUCCACGCCGUAAACGAUGGGCGCUCGUCGUCGGCGGCAGACAGUCGGCGGCCAAGCGAAAGCGAUAAGCGCCCCACCUGGGGAGUACGGUCGCAAGGCUAAAACUUAAAGGAAUUGACGGGG